UCACCAUCUUCUCCCGGCAACAGAAGAUGUAGGAGCCAGGACCUGGAGGACAUGUUUGAUGUUUUCCCCUCAUUCUUUCUUCGUGGACGCAAAGUACAGCGAGUUUACAGUGGCGAUGAGUAAGUAAGGUAUCAAGUGGAAAACCCCAGAAGGGUUUUUAAAACAGGCUUCCUAGAGCUGAGGAGAGCAUACAGCUCUAUUCAUGACGGUGUGACCUUCUGGACAAGCCGAGAUCUGGAAUGGGAAACCGGAGCUCCGCCUCCAGCCUUGUCCCUCACGGGGAAAGUCACUUCCCCCUCUCUGGGCCUCAGUUUCCUGAUCCGUUACCCACCCUGCCCACCUCAAAGGGUUUGGGGGAAGAGGUGAUGAGAGAAAGGAUGUGAACGGGCUUUGAAAAGAAGGCUCAAGAGCUGUGUAAAUGGAAGGAGUGACUGUUUGUUUUCACAAGUGGAGUUGUCUCUUUGCCAUUGCCACUGGAGAGGCUGUUCGGGCUGUAAGUAUUUGACCUCUGAGCUUUGCUCAGACUGGAGCAGCUGUGGGUGGCAGGAAUGCAGGGAGGGAGGAAAUAUCAGAGUUAGCCAGCAUGGGCCUCAGUCUCAGAGUUGGCCAGGCUUCUACAGGGGAAAAAAUAUCUCAAGUAGCUCUUUGUGGUCAUGAAGAAUACACUUAUGUGAUUGUUUUUAAGUAUUUUAGACUCUGAAAAAAAGCUUUAAGGAACCCAUCGCAAUGGACAACAGUAGAGUUACUCAUUCAACUUCGCGGGAACAAAUCCACGUGAAAUGGAGAAUGGAAGAAAUUAGCUAAAUAAUUCAGUCCCGUCUUCAAUCUAGCAUGCAGGUGCACACACACACACGCGCACACACACACACACACACACACAUACACAUGGAUUAUUUCACCCACAUUGAUUCAGAGUGUGGUUUUAAUUCUUGCCCCUUUCAAUCGGGUUAGAACCUUUCCAGUCUUCAAAGUUCUUCUCAAUCCUUUGUCAUUUUAUACUCAGUGCCCAGCACAGUUCCUGGCUCAUAGUAGGCACUCAGUAAGUUUCUGAUCAAUGACAUACCGCGUGAUCUGGAGUAUACUCUUACCAACAUGGCCUCCGGUGAACCACACGUCUCUGAAUCCAUGUGGAGCCCUCUCCACACUGACUCUGGGCUUAAUUUGCUUGCCUGGAGAGAUUUUAGUAAAUGCGAUACAAACAGGCACGUGAACGGCACAUUGGAACAUCACACUUGUGAAGAAGCCUGGGCCAGCCUGCAGGGGACACGUGGCCAAGUCAACAGCCAGCUUCACUACUGCUAGCCAUGGACCAGCGAACAAGGAAAGAAUUAUCAAAGUGAAAUGCUAAGUGGGCCAUUUGGUAAGGAGAUUUUCCACUGAGUUAGGGCACAGCUCCCAGGGACAGUGAUUAUGAAGGUAGAACUCCUUGAGUGAACUCAAGCAGACGUUAUUUAUGUCACUGGAGAACACAAUUCCGUGACUGCAGAAACCCACAAUUUGGAGCUCUGGUUGAUUUCCCAGGUUUGCUAGCGGGCAGUGUCCAAGUGGCUUUACUCUGCCCACAGAUCUGAUCAUCAGCUUCAUAGGUACAGAAACUCAGUGUUUUCGGUACAUCCAGAGGUGGUCCGGCUCUUGGGAACAGCCCUACAAGAAUCAUGUUCAUGCGAUUCCGUCAGCAAAAUAAAAUGCAAGGACUUUCCAAAGAUACAACAACUCUUAUUGGCUCCCCAGACUCAGUUAGUCAUCAGAAAAGCUCCGUCCCACAAAGAAGAUGGAAUGAGAAGAAAGGAAGUGGGAAGGUUCGGAGGGAAUAUUUCACACGAGUCAGUAAAGGCGGAUAAAAUAUCUCUGUCUGACGAGAGUACCCUCUCUGUAGCAGUGGGAAACCAUGAACCUCAGGUCCAGUGUCUCUCUCCCUUGAGAAUAAUUGGAAGCACACUGACCAGUUGUAGACAUUGACUUAUCUUCUGACAUCUCUGCAGACCCCAUUCCUUCUGGAAGAUAUGCUUUCCUCGGACACAUUAACAUAAUUGAUUAAGCCAUUGCCAUUUUUUUGGUUCAGCAGCACCAUCUGAAGAUCCCACCUUCUUUAGAGUUUGCCUGCCCAAGCUCCUGACUAUCCAUUAUCAACUUGAUUUAUAAGGCAUCUUUCCCCUUCCAAGAUUUCUACAUAACGCAUGGAUUUUGUCCCAUCUACCCAUCCAUCCGUCCAUGCAUCAUUUCAUCUACUUAUUCUAUAAAUCACAUGCACUCAGUUGGUCUGGGGGGCCACAAAGAGGAAUAAACAUGGACCCUGCCUUUGAGGAGCCUCAAAGGUGAGAAAGGAGAUGGGAGUUGAGGUGAAGACUCGUCCUAGAUAAGCCCAGGAAAGACAGGAGGAUACUGUAACUAAGACUGAGCAGCGGUGAUAGGGAAGAAGGGGCAGAUACCAGUGUUACGGAGAGAAAAUGAACAGUGAUUGCCCAGUGGGCAGGCAGUGAGAAAGAGGGAAGAGACCAGAGCAAUAAAAAUGGUUGUAAACCACUAAGUAUUCAUUAGUAUCAUCAUUAUGACCAUUAAUAGCUGGCAUUUAUUGAGAACUUUCACCAUGCCAGGGACUAUUCUGAGCCCUUUAUAUGGACAAAUUCACGUAAUCCUCAACACCAAGUAAGGUAGUUACCAUCAUUAUGUCCAGAUUUCAGAUGAGGAACUAUAGGAGGAAGAUCCACAGAACAGUUCUAGAAAUGUGUCAUUUGGCAUGCCUGGGACCGUCCCAAUGGAGAGCUCCAGCAGGGAGUGUAAUGGCGGGAGGCCAAUGAGAGCAUCUGUGCUAGAAACAUCAACUGAGACACCAUCUGCGCCUACACGUGGUGGUAGGAGCCACAGGUCUGGUAUGGCAGGUUGAGGACAGGGACAAGGUCAGGACCCAGGAGAAGACCCAAGGCUCCUCACUAGGGGGCCUUGAGUAUGGAAAUGAAUGAUUAAACAGUUAGGCUAUCUCUCUACCUUGGUGCUGCCCGUGGAGGUGGCAGCCAUGUCUUACUGGGCAUCAUGUCUGCCCUCAGAUCUCUGGUGAAUCACAAGAUCAGUAAAAACAGAACCGGGAAGCUCACCCAGCACCGGUCAGACCAAUAUGUCCAAGUUGAGGGCAAACGGCACAAAUCAGAGGGCCCAGCCUGAUCUUGAUGUCCAACACUGGUUACGGGAGCAGUAAGAAAACCAAGCACGGGCUGGCCGGUGGCUUCUGGAAGUUUCUAGUCCACAACGUCAAGGAGCUCGAAGUGCUGCAGGUGUGCUACAAAUCUCACCGUGCACAGGUUGUUCACGAUGUCUCCUCCAAGGAGCCAUGAGCAGCCCAGCCGGCCGCUGGAGUCACCAGUCCCAAUGCCAGGCUGCGCAGCAAAGGAGACGAAUAGAGAGACAGCUCAUGCACCCACUGCAUUUGUGUUAAUAAAACCACAACACCCCCAAAACUUUUUUUUAAAAGUUAGGAUACGCACCAGAACAGGAGGUGUCAAAGCAGCAGAGCGAGCCAAAGGUUUCAAAAAGGAGGCAAUGUUCCAGCGACUUCAAUCCCACCCGAGAGAGAGCACACAAACGUGUAUGAGAAGCAGCCACUGAGUUAGACAUUCAGGCAGUUUGACAGCUAGUGACGUCGAGAAUCACAGUUUUAGAGGCAUACACACCAUCUCCCAACACGUCUGGAUCAGUGGUUCUCAGAUUCUGGUGCAGAAGACUUUCCUGGCAGUUUAUUAAAAUUCAGAUUCCUGGUGGCAGUUUAUUAAAAUUCAGAUUCCUGGGA